rnacentral:rRNA from 1 species
AAAAACCUUACCUACCCUUGAAUGUAUGGAUCCUGCUGAGAGGUGGGAGUCCCGAAAGGAGCCAUAACACAGGUGCUGCAUGGUUUCGUCAGCUCGUGUCGUGAGAUGUUGGUUAAGUCCCGCAACGAGCGAACCCUUGUCCCUAGUUGCUACGCAGGAGCACUCUAGGGAGAUUGCCGGUGACAAACCGGAGGAAGGUGGGGAUGACGUCAGUCCUAUGGCCCUUAUGGUAGGCUUCACACGUCAUACAAUGGUCGGAACAGAGGGCGCCAACCCGUGAGGGGGACCAAUCCAGAAAACCGUCGUGGCCGGAUCGCACUCUGAACUCGAGUGCUGAGUUGGAAUCGCUUGGUUCGCGAUCAGCAUUGCCGGGUGAUACGUCCCGGCCUUGUACACACCGCCGUCACACCAUGGGAGUGGGUUUUACCCGAAGGCUUAGUCUAACCGCAGGGGACGGGCACCUACCGGUGGAUUUCAUGGAUUGGUGAGAAGUCGUAACA